rnacentral:tRNA from 1 species
GGGCAGAUAGCUCAGUUGGUAGAGCACAGGACUGAAAAUCCUGGUGUCGUGAGUUCAACUCUCACUCUGCCCA